rnacentral:rRNA from 1 species
CCUACGGGUGGCUGCAGUGGGGAAUAUUGGACAAUGGGGGGAACCCUGAUCCAGCCAUGCCGCGUGUGUGAAGAAGGCCCUCGGGUUGUAAAGCACUUUCAGUGAGGAAGAACGCCUGGUGGUUAAUACCCAUCAGGAAAGACAUCACUCACAGAAGAAGCACCGGCUAACUCCGUGCCAGCAGCCGCGGUAAUACGGAGGGUGCGAGCGUUAAUCGGAAUUACUGGGCGUAAAGCGCGCGUAGGUGGCUUGAUAAGCCGGUUGUGAAAGCCCCGGGCUCAACCUGGGAACGGCAUCCGGAACUGUCAAGCUAGAGUGCAGGAGAGGAAGGUAGAAUUCCCGGUGUAGCGGUGAAAUUCGUAGAGAUCGGGAGGAAUACCAGUGGCGAAGGCGGCCUUCUGGACUGAUACUGACACUGAGGUGCGAAAGCGUGGGUAGCAAACAGGAUUAGAUACCCUGGUAGUC